rnacentral:misc_RNA from 1 species
GAAACGCGAUAGUUAAUGUGAAUUGCAGAAUUCAGUGAAUCAUCGAGUCUUUGAACGCACAUUGCGCCUUCCGGUAUUCCGGGAAGCACACCUGUUUGAGCGUCAUUAUAAACCCUCCGGCCUGAGGUUUAUUCCAACGGCACGGGUGCAUUGGCGCGGGGAUCCCCGGGCGCCGCGUUUCGGCGCGGCUGGCCCCUCUCCCGUCUAAACGCGUGGAAAGCUAGCGGGCGGAAGCCCCCAUUGCGACGACUCGUAGGAAUUAAAACCCUGUCGUGCCGGCAUUGGGAUCCGCCCCGCCUACCAACCCACGGGGGUGCCAACACCCCCAGUAUCUUGACCUCAAAUCAGGCGAGGAUACCCGCUGAACUUAA